AGCAGUAGCCACGGGAAUACAGAGGGUGCGAGCGUUAAUCGGAUUUACUGGGCGUAAAGCGUGCGUAGGCGGCUUCUUAAGUCGGAUGUGAAAUCCCUGAGCUUAACUUAGGAAUUGCAUUCGAUACUGGGAAGCUAGAGUAUGGUAGAGGAUGGUAGAAUUCCAGGUGUAGCGGUGAAAUGCGUAGAGAUCUGGAGGAAUACCGAUGGCGAAGGCAGCCAUCUGGACUAACACUGACGCUGAGGUACGAAAGCAUGGGGAGCAAACAGGAUUAGAUACCCCCGUAGUCCCUGUCUCUUAUAU
rnacentral:rRNA from 1 species